UGGUAGAGUACUGCGUUCGGGACGCAGGAGUCGGAGGUUCGAAUCCUCUCGCCCCGA
rnacentral:tRNA from 1 species